rnacentral:rRNA from 1 species
ACUAAGCGUACACGGUGGAUGCCCUGGCAGUCAGAGGCGAUGAAGGGCGUGCUAAUCUGCGAUAAGCGCCGGUAAGGUGAUAUGAACCGUUAUAACCGGCGAUACCCGAAUGGGGAAACCCAGUGUGAUUCGUCACACUAUCAUUAACUGAAUCCAUAGGUUAAUGAGGCGAACCGGGGGAACUGAAACAUCUAAGUACCCCGAGGAAAAGAAAUCAACCGAGAUUCCCCCAGUAGCGGCGAGCGAACGGGGAGGAGCCCAGAGCCUGAAUCAGCAUGUGUGUUAGUGGAAGCGUCUGGAAAGGCGCGCGAUACAGGGUGACAGCCCCGUACACAAAAGCGCAUGUGCUGUGAGCUCGAUGAGUAGGGCGGGACACGUGGUAUCCUGUCUGAAUAUGGGGGGACCAUCCUCCAAGGCUAAAUACUCCUGACUGACCGAUAGUGAACCAGUACCGUGAGGGAAAGGCGAAAAGAACCCCGGCGAGGGGAGUGAAAAAGAACCUGAAACCGUGUACGUACAAGCAGUGGGAGCCCCACCACUAAGCCAGUGGUGAACUCCACAUCCGCAUCCUUUGCUGAGGAUACGGUUAACGGAGCGAAAGCGACGUUCAACCGCAAAACAAGCAGAGGGGGCUUAGUGGUGGGGUGACUGCGUACCUUUUGUAUAAUGGGUCAGCGACUUAUAUUCUGUAGCAAGGUUAACCGAAUAGGGGAGCCGGAGGGAAACCGAGUCUUAAUUGGGCGUUAAGUUGCAGGGUAUAGACCCGAAACCCGGUGAUCUAGCCAUGGGCAGGUUGAAGGUUGGGUAACACUAACUGGAGGACCGAACCGACUAAUGUUGAAAAAUUAGCGGAUGACCUGUGGCUGGGGGUGAAAGGCCAAUCAAACCGGGAGAUAGCUGGUUCUCCCCGAAAGCUAUUUAGGUAGCGCCUCGUGAAUUCAUCUCCGGGGGUAGAGCACUGUUUCGGCUAGGGGGCCAUCCCGGCUUACCAACCCGAUGCAAACUGCGAAUACCGGAGAAUGUUAUCACGGGAGACACACGGCGGGUGCUAACGUCCGUCGUGAAGAGGGAAACAACCCAGACCGCCAGCUAAGGUCCCAAAGUCAUGGUUAAGUGGGAAACGAUGUGGGAAGGCCCAGACAGCCAGGAUGUUGGCUUAGAAGCAGCCAUCAUUUAAAGAAAGCGUAAUAGCUCACUGGUCGAGUCGGCCUGCGCGGAAGAUGUAACGGGGCUAAACCAUGCACCGAAGCUGCGGCAGCGAACGUAUCACCCAAGACAACUUUACGGAGUUGACGAUUGACGGAGCGAAGCGACGUCAAAGCGUUCAUUAAAGUCGAGUUGGCUUAGGGAUACGUUCGUUGGGUAGGGGAGCGUUCUGUAAGCCUGUGAAGGUGUGUCGUGAGGCAUGCUGGAGGUAUCAGAAGUGCGAAUGCUGACAUAAGUAACGAUAAAGCGGGUGAAAAGCCCGCUCGCCGGAAGACCAAGGGUUCCUGUCCAACGUUAAUCGGGGCAGGGUGAGUCGACCCCUAAGGCGAGGCCGAAAGGCGUAGUCGAUGGGAAACGGGUUAAUAUUCCCGUACUUGGUGUUACUGCGAAGGGGGGACGGAGAAGGCUAUGUUGGCCGGGCGACGGUUGUCCCGGUUUAAGCGUGUAGGUGUGUGUUCCAGGUAAAUCCGGUUCACUUUAACACUGAGGCGUGACGACGAGGCACUACGGUGCUGAAGCAACAAAUGCCCUGCUUCCAGGAAAAGCCUCUAAGCAUCAGGUAACACGAAAUCGUACCCCAAACCGACACAGGUGGUCAGGUAGAGAAUACCAAGGCGCUUGAGAGAACUCGGGUGAAGGAACUAGGCAAAAUGGUGCCGUAACUUCGGGAGAAGGCACGCUGACACGUAGGUGAAGUGAUUUACUCAUGGAGCUGAAGUCAGUCGAAGAUACCAGCUGGCUGCAACUGUUUAUUAAAAACACAGCACUGUGCAAACACGAAAGUGGACGUAUACGGUGUGACGCCUGCCCGGUGCCGGAAGGUUAAUUGAUGGGGUCAGCGCAAGCGAAGCUCCUGAUCGAAGCCCCGGUAAACGGCGGCCGUAACUAUAACGGUCCUAAGGUAGCGAAAUUCCUUGUCGGGUAAGUUCCGACCUGCACGAAUGGCGUAAUGAUGGCCAGGCUGUCUCCACCCGAGACUCAGUGAAAUUGAACUCGCUGUGAAGAUGCAGUGUACCCGCGGCAAGACGGAAAGACCCCGUGAACCUUUACUAUAGCUUGACACUGAACAUUGAGCCUUGAUGUGUAGGAUAGGUGGGAGGCUUUGAAGUGUGGACGCCAGUCUGCAUGGAGCCGACCUUGAAAUACCACCCUUUAAUGUUUGAUGUUCUAACGUGGACCCGUAAUCCGGGUUGCGGACAGUGUCUGGUGGGUAGUUUGACUGGGGCGGUCUCCUCCUAAAGAGUAACGGAGGAGCACGAAGGUUGGCUAAUCCUGGUCGGACAUCAGGAGGUUAGUGCAAUGGCAUAAGCCAGCUUGACUGCGAGCGUGACGGCGCGAGCAGGUGCGAAAGCAGGUCAUAGUGAUCCGGUGGUUCUGAAUGGAAGGGCCAUCGCUCAACGGAUAAAAGGUACUCCGGGGAUAACAGGCUGAUACCGCCCAAGAGUUCAUAUCGACGGCGGUGUUUGGCACCUCGAUGUCGGCUCAUCACAUCCUGGGGCUGAAGUAGGUCCCAAGGGUAUGGCUGUUCGCCAUUUAAAGUGGUACGCGAGCUGGGUUUAGAACGUCGUGAGACAGUUCGGUCCCUAUCUGCCGUGGGCGCUGGAGAACUGAGGGGGGCUGCUCCUAGUACGAGAGGACCGGAGUGGACGCAUCACUGGUGUUCGGGUUGUCAUGCCAAUGGCACUGCCCGGUAGCUAAAUGCGGAAGAGAUAAGUGCUGAAAGCAUCUAAGCACGAAACUUGCCCCGAGAUGAGUUCUCCCUGAGACUUAGAGUCUCCUGAAGGAACGUUGAAGACGACGACGUUGAUAGGCCGGGUGUGUAAGCGCAGCGAUGCGUUGAGCUAACCGGUACUAAUGAACCGUGAGGCUUAACC